AUUGUGCCAAGGUGGCAGCACUCUGAUCAGGCCUUUCUAAUAAAACUGCACUUCACUGUUCGGCCAUCACAGUUCUGGCAGGUAAUCGCACCUACAGAAUAUUUUGCAAAGUCCGCAAGCAGAAAAGCUUCAAGUCUCGCGAGAUCGCCGGCUGCUGGGAGUUUGGAAGAAGGCUACCAUCAUGGCGGAUAGAGACAGUGGAAGCGAGCAAGGGGCGGCCAGCUCGAGCUUGCAACAGCUGCAGCAGGAGACGCAGGAAUUGGCUUCCAAGAGGGUGGACAUUCAGAAUAAGCGCUUCUACCUGGACGUGAAGCAGAAUGUGAAAGGCCGAUUCCUGAAGAUAGCAGAGGUGGGAGCGGGAGGCAAUAAAAGUCGUCUAACUCUCUCCAUGUCUGUUGCUGUGGAGUUCCGCGACUACCUGGGAGAUUUCAUCGAACAUUACGCACAGCUCGGCCCCAGCAACCCGGACAUGCAGACAGACGAGCCGAGGCGAGCUCUGAAAAGUGAAUUCUUGGUGCGGGAAAACCGCAAAUAUUACAUGGAUUUAAAAGAGAAUCAACGGGGCCGGUUCCUACGGAUUCGUCAGACCGUAAACCGGGGACAUGGCCUUGGUUCCCAGGGUCAAACUAUCGCCCUCCCCGCUCAGGGGCUGAUUGAAUUCCGUGAUGCACUCGCUAAACUAAUCGACGAUUAUGGCAUCGAAGAGGAACCAACUGAGCUGCCCGAAGGGACAUCGCUCACUGUGGACAACAAGCGAUUUUUCUUUGACGUUGGGUCAAACAAGUAUGGCGUUUUUAUGAGAGUAAGUGAGGUGAAACCAUCGUACCGCAAUUCUAUCACGAUACCCUAUAAAGUGUGGGCCAAGUUUGGAAAUACUUUCAGUAAAUACGCAGAGGAAAUGAAGAAAAUACAGGAGAAACAGCGGGAGAAAAGGUCUGAACAGCAAGAGGAAGCUCCCGGAGAUGAUGGGGAGGAAGACUGAUAUAACUGUAAUUAAAAACUCUUCCUGUAAAACUGUAACUGUUUAACUCCGAGGGAGCACCACCCACCAAACCUCCACAACUGACAGUUCGACUUGUCACCCAUCGCUGGAUGUUCGUCCACUUAUCAACCGUGUAAACCGUUUGGACUGAAGACAGACGCCUGGUGUGUUCAGGUGCGUCCUGCAAAAACUUCUUGUGUCCACAACAGAAUGUGCAAUAUUUGAAGCCUGGUCUAUGAAUGUAGUGGAGUACUUUUAAUUGGAAAAAAAAACAACACAAAAACAGAGGAUCCAAAACUUCACAAGUUGGAAUAAUCAGAUUCCAAGGCAGAAAAGAUUUAGAACUGUUCGUACUGAGAAAGUAAAACCUUCCAACUGAAAAGGAAAAGAAAACUGAAAAUUUGAAAAUGGAAUAACAUGUAACUUUAUAAUACAAAAUUCUUGGACAAAUUGUCCCGCUUUCCAUUGUAAAAUGACAAUAUAAACUAUUGCCUGAUAAAUUGAAAAAUACAUAAUUUUCCAGUGCCGUGCAUUUCAUUGCAAAAUGUGCAAUUUUGCAGCCCUUCAAAACUUUAUUAAGAUAUUGCUUACUGUAAAUAUUCCAUAUAACAUGAUAAAGGAACAGAAUCAAUUGUUUUAAUAAGCAUAAGUGUGAAAAAUUUGGGCAAAGCAACAAGUAUUUUUUAAAAAACAUCCUUAUGCUUUUCAAAAUGGAGUAAUGAAAAAUUGCUUGGAUAUCUCAUUGCUUUCUCGUGUACUAAUUGUAUCUCUUUCAUAAUGAGGACCCUCUGAUUGAUCUGUAAACACCAACAAACCUGUCUUUUAUUUUACAUAAGAUGUGCACCACCAUUAGUUAGGUUGGAUUCAUUUUUAUUUUCCUCUGCUAUCAGUAAACGAAUAACUUUACUUUUAGGUUGCCAUAUUUACAGUUUUUGAAUCCUGGUUGUAUAUUAAGUCCGUCGAUGGCAGGAAACCUGUAAGGGAGUUUUUUAAGUGGAAAAGCCAUUGCAGCUUAUCAGUUCCACGCUCUCGAUCUCAGAAGUCCAGGUCCAGUGGUAAGAACAAAUGUCACAAACUGGGGCCUUCCUUGGUUGCAGUGGAUGACUAUGACGCCUUCUGUGCCUUGUCAUGCCCUUUGCUCUCCAUGGAACAUUGCAGUACCACCUCCCUGGCUGUUGGAUCUCACUGUAGAUCUCAUCUAUCCAAUCCACUGGAGCUGACAUCAGGUGCUAGGACAGGCAUGUCCCUAUUUCACUGGGGUAUGAGGCCACCGGCUAGCCUCACCUGAUUUAGUCUGCCUGUCAAAGCGGUGUACCUGGGUGUGGCCUCUGUUGCAUGCAAAUGGCUACUUGGAGCACAGAUGAGAGCAGAGCAUCUCGUGGGGACUAAAGGUGAGUGACCUGCUCCAGAAUGGCCUUGACAAGCCCCUUCACCAGAGCUGCUACCCCCUCCCUGGAAACCCAAUAGACCCCAUUUACAACUUUUAGAAGAUUACUGCAAAUUGCAUUUGAGACUGCAGGUGUACUGGAAAAAUCAAGUUGAUAGUGGACCCCAAGAAAAGGAAUUUGUGGAAUGUCUUUGAGAUAGCUUUUUAGACCAACUCAGUUCAAGUUCAAGUUUAAUUUUCAUUCAUUCCUGCAUGAAUACAGCUAAAUGAAAAAGUGUUACUCCAGGGCCAAGGUGCCAAACAGCACCAACAGUCACACUCAGCAAAUAUAGCACAUAUAAGAUAUCAGUAAAAUACAGUCACAUAAAAAAAUAGUCCAAGAUUCUGAGUCUAUGAAUGUUGCAGCAGUCUGCAGUCGAACACAAUAAGCUUGUGGCUUAUGGUAGAGCCCAGCAGAGAACAAGCAAUUCUUGGUUUAAUUUUAUAUAAUGAGGCAAACUUGAUUACGGAGUUUAAGGAGAAUGAAACAUUAGGAGGCAUUGACCAUAAUAUGAUAUAAUUCAUCCUGCAGGUCAAAAGUGAGAUGCUGGGAUCAGAUAUAACAGUACUACAGAGGAAUGGGGGAGGAGCAGGUCAGAAUUGCUUGGAAGUGCACUCUAUAGGGAAAGGCAGUGGAGCAGCAUUGGCAGGAGUAUCUGGAAGCAGCUCAGGAGACACAGUAAAAUUCCAUCCCUAAGAAGCAACAGCAUCCGAAGGGGAGGAUGAGAUGACCAUAGCUGACAAGGGAAGUCAAGGGCAGCAUAAAAACAAAAGAGAAGGCAUACAAUAUGACAAAGAUUAGUGAGAAGUCAGAGAAUUUGGAAACCUUUUGAAGCCAAGAGAAGACAACUAAGAAACAAUAAAGGGAGGAAGAAGAUAAAAUGUGAAGAGAGAACCUGCAGAUGCUGGAAAUCUGAGCAACUCAGCAGGCCAGGCAGAAUGGAAAAGAGGCUGAUUUUUGGCUCAUUUCAGGCUGAAACGUCAACUGUACUCUUUUCCAUAGAUGCUGCCUGGCCUGCUAAGUUCCUCCAGCAUUUUGAAAUAUGAGAGGAAACUAGGCAAUAUUAUUAAAGAAAAUUGCAACAGUUUUUUUUAGGUACAUAAGGGCUAGGAGCAAGGGAAGAGUGGACAUUGGACCACUGGAAAAUGAGCAAUGGAGAACAAAGAAACAGAGGAGGACUGAAUAGGUCUUUGCAUCAGUCUUCACAGUGAAAGACAUGAGUAACAUGCCAGAAGUUCAGGAAAGUCAGGGUGGUAGAGGUGAGUGUAGAGGCAAAAAAACUAGAAAAGAGUGGGGAUAAAGAGGUCCUUUUCAGGAGUUCCACAGGGAUCAGUAUUGGGACAACAACUUUUCACUUUAUAUCAGUGAUCUGAAUAAAGUUACUGGGCAUUGUUGCCAAGUUUGCAGGCAAUAUCAAAAUAGGCAGAGAAACAGAUGAGUUGCGGAGGAAGGGAGUCUGCAGAAGAACUUGGACAUGUUUGGGAAGUGGGCAAAGAAGUGGCAGAUGGAAUACAGCGUUGGAAAGUGUAGGGUUAUAUACUUCAGUAGGAAGAAUAAUGGCAUAGACUAUUUUCUAAAUGGAGAUAGAAUUUAGAAAUCAGAUGUGCCAAGGGACUUCUGAGUCCCAAUUCGGGAUUCCCUUAGGAUUCACUUGCAGAUUGGGUUGGCAGGAAGGAAGACGAAUGCAAUAUUAGCAUUCAUUUUGAGAGGAUCAGAAUAUAAAAGUAAGGAUAUACUGCUGUGGCUUUGUAAGACAUUGGUGAAACAAUAUUUAGGACAAGGAAAGAUGUGCUCAAGGGAUCCGGAGAAGUUCAUAGAAAAACCUGGGAAUGAAAGACUUAUGAGGAACAUUUGAUUGCUCUGGGCUGGUGUAUAAUGGAGUUCAGAAAAAUGAGGGAUUUUGUUGAAACCCACAAUAUUGAAAGGCCUAGGUAGAGUGGAUGUGGAGAGGAUGCUUUCAUUAGUAGGAGUGUAGGAUAUGAGGCACUGCCUCAGAAUAAGGGAAUGUCCCUUUAGAACUAAGAUGAAAGGGAAUUUCUUCAUCCAGAAAGUAGUGUAUCUGCAGAAUUCAUAGCUACUUGACGCAUGUGGAGGCCAAGUCAUUAGGAGUAUUGGAUUGAUAAGUUCUUGACUGGUAAGAGGGUUAAUAUUUAUGGGGAGUAUGCAGGAGAAUGGAAUUGACAUAUAUAUUUUAAAAAUCAGCCUUGAUUGAAUUGCAGAGCAGACUCAAUGGGCCGGAUGGCAUAAUUCUUUACUUGUAUCUUGCAUCUAUAGGCUUAUUUAGACAGUACAUGGAUAGGAAAGGAACAGAGGGAUGUGGACCAAACACAGGCUAAUGGGACCAGCAAAGACAACCACCUGGGUCAGCAAGUACAGUUUGCAAAGGAUGUGUUUCUCUAAACUCAAUGGUAUUUUGUUAGAGACUAACUAAAUUUCUCAGCUCCUAGAGUUCGUCUGACUGCUUAAGUAGUUGGCUACCUUUAAUUUGAUGUAUUACUAGACAUAAUGUAUUUUAACACUGGCAGCAGAAUGUUUAAAAAAGCAUUGUGUUACAAGCUUGCAGAGCUAUCAAAGCUUUGGUAUUUCUUUUCAUUUGUUCCUCCUAUGGAUGUUGGCUUUAUGCUGAAGUAUACUACUAUCAUUGCCAGAUGUUUUAAAAUUUUCUCAAAACUCACUCAAGAUUCAUGCGAAAGUUUUGAUAUUGUUUCUGAAAACUAUUCAAGUACAUUGGAUAUCAUAGCUGAGCCCAAUUAAGUUCUCACCCAACAGCAGCCAUUUUGCAUUUUCAGUAUAGAUGCAAAAUGUUUGUGAAGAAUAGGAAUAACAGCUGAUUUUCCCACAAUAACAUAUCUCACUAUUAAAUGCAUUUUGCAACCCAUCAUUAACAUCAGUCACCCUUGGGGUACAAAAUUCAUAAGAUUCCCUAACCUCGUAGUGAAAAAAUCCCUCUUCAAUUCAGUCAAAAAUGGCUGAUGCUUUAUCCCAUGAUGAUAUCCCCAGGAUCUGUGGUCCCCAGCCUGAGGAAACAGCCUCUUAGUAUUUAUCCUGCUAGUCCUUCACAUGAUCUUUUUCAGCUGCUGUUCUAAACUCUAGAAAUUAUAGCUUAAUUCUUCUUGAUCUCAUCUCAGUGCAAAGCACUUCUUCAAUCCAUCACCUGAAAUUGUUUCAUUUUCUCUGAGGCUUUCUGGAGUGCAAAGAGCAAAUCUGCACAUGGUAUUUGCAACCAAAGUCCUAUACAUUUGCAGUAAAUUUGUAACCCAGCCCACUUCCUAUAAAUCUCAUUAUAUCAUUUGGAUUCCUAAUAGCUCACCAUAUCCGCAAUUUAGUGUUCCAUGGAAAACUUCAAUCUUCCAGAACAGCAAUGCCUGAUAGCAUUUCAGCAUUUAAGCAUAUUUACCAUGUGAAUAACUGCAACUUUCCAAUGUUAUAGCCACUGCCUUUGCAUCCUCCUCAAAGCUUGCUCUCCCACUAACCUUUCUCAUGUUAGAAAAGUUGCUUUGUUAUUAAUUUAGCCAGUAAAUAACUGAGGCUUGUGCAGUGCAGUAAUUACUGUGCCAAGGCACUGGUAACACUUACCAAACUGAAAAUGACAAGUUUAUUCUAACUUUGUCCUUUAUUCCUCUAUAAACACCAGUAUAGUUUCCCAUUUUCAUAAGCUGUUACUUUGGGUGUAACUUCUAUGUGGCCACUAUUUACAAACACAAUUUUGCUAUUUCCACUAAUUCCUGUUUAUCUGCAUUGUUAAUUAAAUCACAUUUUUAAACAUUUUCCUUUGAAACCUUGUUCAGGCAGACAAAUCAUGAAUUUGGAUAUGCCCUAAUAUGACUCUUUUUUUAAAAAAAAACAAACACACCUUUUGAUUUCCUACAAUUGUCAAGACUAACUGAUCCCCAUUUUUUUCUCUUCCUUCCCUCAUCCUUGAACAGCAGUUUACAUUUGUGCAAUAUACACAAAGUAUUGGAGGAAUUCGGGUCAGGCAGUAUCUAUGGAGAGGAAUAGAGAGAGAUUGGCACUUCAAGCUGAGACCCUUCAUCAGGACUGGAAAGGAAGUGGAAAGAAGCCAGAUAAGAUCAGUGGUGGGAGGGGAAGUAGUACAAGCUGGCAGGUGAUGGGUGAGACCAGGUGAGUAGGAUGGAGAGUUGGUGGGGAAGGGGUUAUGAAGAAAAUGGAAAGUGAUAGAUGGAAGACGUAAAGGGCUAAAAAAGGAGGAAUCUGAUAGGGAAGGACAGUGAAGGAUGGAGGGUGGCACCAGAGGAAGGUGAUGUGCAGGGGAGGAAAAGGGCUGAAAAGGGAAUCAGAAUGGGGAAUGGAAAAAGAGAGAAAGGGGAGAGUGGAGAUAUUACCAGAAGUUAGAGAAAUUGAUGGUCUUGCCAUCAGGUUGGAGGUUCCCCAAACAGAAUAUGAGGUGUUGUUCUUCCAAUUUGAAUGUGGCCUCAUCAUAGCAAUAGAAGAGGCCAUGGACCAAAUAUCAGAAUGGGAAGUAGAAUUAAUGCAUGGUCACUAGGAAAUACUGCCUUUUUUUGGUGGACGAAGACUGUUUAGACUCUGGUAAUGAGGGAAGAGAUGUAGGGGCAGGUAUAGCACUUGUCCUACUUGAAGGAAUAAGUGGCAGGAGGACGGGGUGAGGGCAGAUGUGUGGGAAAUGGAAGAGAUGCUGGUGAGGGUAGCAUCAAUCUCUUUCUGGCUUCUUUGCCCUUCCUUUCCAGUCCUGAUAAGGGUCUCAGCCCAAAACGUCAACUGUUUAUCAUCCUUCAUAUAUGUUAUCUGACUUGCUGAGUUUCUCCAGCACUUUGUGUUGCUCAAGAUUUCCAGCAUCUCCGGUAUCUCUUGUGUAAGUAAGUGUUACAUUUUUUAUGUUUUAAUGCCCUGUUUCUGCAGCCAUCUCAUUUCAAACUCUUGGAUCUGAAUUCCAGGGGAUGUAUUAAGUCCAAUGAAUGCUCCAGUAGUUUCUCUUAAUAACAUUAAUUGCUUCUAAUUACUUCAUUUAAAGCAUUGUUUCGCUGCCAUUUCUGGCACAGUGGUUGUAUUUUUUGAAGACAUAUUAAAUAUUUGCUUGAUGUCUCAGCCACAGCUCUAUUCUGCUCUAUAGUUUAUUCUCCUCUCACCCUCCAAUACCCCACAUUUUCUGUUGAUGCUCUUCCUUUACACAGUAUACCCUUUUUCUUUUUCUUUUGUUUACAACUUGGUUUUAUUAUUUCAAGCUGCUCUACCUUCAUUGCAAUUUCCUUUUUUUAAAGUCAGGCUUUUAAAAAUCCAACACAGCAUAACUUGUAUGCCCUAAUCCUCGGUUUUAUACUCCUGGUGAUGUUGUACAGUAUUAGAUUAAAAAGAGAUUUACAACUCCAUCGAUGGCCACAGAUAAUUUUUUUCAUUAGGGAUUUUAUUUCUCAUGGUGAAGUAUAUUCACUGAGGAUAAUAACAUAUUUCUUUAAAAGUCUGUUAUUUCUUAUCUGUUGUCAUACUUAUAAAUCUACUUUCCCAACUUGUGUUAGCCGACUGAUUCUUCAGAGUUGUACAAUUGGCUAUCAGUUUAAAAACCAUCAUUACAUUUUUGAUGCAAGUACAUUACUCUCAAAACUAAUCUGUCAAAUAAGAUCAUAGUAAUAAAGAGCUCUUUAUUGUAAGAUUCUCUUUAACUUUCUUUCUUUCAUAUAAGAUGAUAUUUAACAUUCCUUGGUUAGUUCCACUAUCUUUUCAGAAUAUUGUCUGAAAUGUUGCCAAAGACCCAAAUUGAAAUCAACACAUUUUGGACAAAUGUGGGGCAAAGAAAAUAUCCUUCUGUUACUCCCUUGUUCCAUAGAGCUUAUUCAUUUAUCUAUUUAUUGAGAUACAAUGUGGAGUAGGCCCUUCUGACCUUUUGAGCUAUGCUGCCCAGCAACCCCCAAUUUAACCCUGGCCUAAUCACGGGACAAUUUACAAUGACCAGUUAACCCUGCAAACCAGUAUGUUUUUGGACUGUGGGAGGAAACCGGAACACAUGGAGAGAACCUAUGCAGUUACAGGGAGAACAUGCAAAUUCCUUACAGACAGUGAUGAGUAUUGAACAUGAGUCGUUGGUACUGUGAAGUGUUGUGCAAACUACUGCGCUGCUGUUCCGGCCUUCCCAGAGCUUUGGUUAUUUAAUAUCGUGGAAAGUACCAUGUAAGUGUACCAAAAUUCCAUGUAUAAGAUGUGUAAGGUUAAAUGAAUACUCCCUCAGUUUGUCUGUAAAGAUGUAAUGUGAAACACAGUUUUAGCAAUGGACUGGACUGAUGGAUAUGGAAAAUGUGGUCCAGAUUAACAUGCAACUAUUUAACUGAAAUUGCUUGAUCCUGCUGUUGGAUCCCCCCAGAACGAAGUGUUUUGUGAUUUAGAGCAAAUCAUUGCUCAAUUUAUUGAAUGCAAAAAUUUUAAAAACAUUUCAAACAUUGAGUGUUGGAGUAUCCAUAAAACUGGGUGGCUUUGAUAUUAAUUUUAAAUAUUUGAAGCAUUAAUUUAAGAUGAGCUAGAUUUACCUCAUUAUUUUAAAGAAAGACACAGAGGCCAUUACUUUCCAUUUCAUAGUUCAGAGCCUUGUAAUAUCUAUUUUCCAUUAUGUUGAAUCUGAUCUGAUUAGCCAGCUCACUCUUGUUACCGUUAUUGUUGCCAUUUUUAAAUUUAGGACCCUAGAUUUGGAUUGAACUAUUGCACUUUCCAUUUUAGGAAGGAUUCUAUACUUCUUCCCUAAAAGGCACUGCAAAACAGGAUUAAUUAACACAUUCUCAUUGUGCAGGAUUCGAUCUGUUCUCUUGCUAGAUCCUUGAUGUACCGUUUUUAAAUCGUCCUUUACAUACGCCAGAAAUUCAUCUUCCAUAGGAUUAUUUUGAAUUUACUUUGACCUGUCUAUAUGUAUGUUAAAGUCAUCCAUGAUUAUCUUCGAGUAUCCUUAUUACAUCCAUCUCUACUGUUCAUUUUGACUGUCAAACCUCUAGAAACUUGCAGUGACUUGAAAGCUGUACAGGUUCGUCAAGAUGAUUCCUCAGAAUACAAGGUUAAAUUAUGAAGUCAGUUGUAUCCCAUGAGAGAUGAGUUGUAUUCCCUGGAAUUUGGAAGAUUGAAUGGUGAUGAAAAAUAAGCUAAUUAAUAUAGUUAUUUGAAUCAAUAAGGAGAGCUCACUUCCUCUGAUGCUAGAAUCCAGAACAAUGAGGUAUUAGAUCAUAGAAUAGUUAGGGAAGAAUCCAGAAAUUGCAGUUUUCUUGUAAAGGGUGCUGAAAACUUGAAAAUUGUUUUGUGACUUCUCCAUUUGUGAGAAGGGAGUCAUUUUGGAUGUUUUUGAACUAAAGCUAAUAGAUGUUUUCUAGGUAAAGAAUACUAAUGGGUUAUGGAACAACCAAUAUGAAUUUGAGUUCUAGAUCAAUUCUGACCUAACUUGAAUUGUUGAAAAGGUUCGAAGGGCUAAAUGAAUUCCUGUUCCUUUGCAAGUGCUGACUGAUGAUUUUAAAAGUUGAUCAUACUGUAUAUAAUAGAGAAAUUGCACACACUUGUUAAUUAAUGAUUUAAAGAAUAUAUUGUGCUUAAACAAAAUGUAAUUCUGAUUUGGUUUCUCUUUAAGUUUGAACCGACAUAUGCUGAUUACCCUUGCAGUGCAUUAUUUUUGCUUUGUCUUUGCAAUUUGCUCGACAAUUUACUCUAAGUGAAAAUUGAUACGUUUUUAAAGAAACAAAAUUAAUUUCAAGUCAUUAUUUCAAGGUUCAAGGCGCACUUAUUAUCAAAGUAUGAAUGCAGUAUACAACUCUGAGAUUGAAUAAUUUUAUAUGCAGUUUUGACCUAUUUAAAACUAUUCAUUUGUUCAACACUCCAUAAAAGUAUGUAAGUUAACUUGAUAAAUGUACCAAAUUUAAGCUGUCAAAUUUAAUGCUAUGUCCUUUAAGCUGAGUGUUGUUCAGUCAUGAUGCAAAAGAGUAAGACUAUUUUGUGGUGGCAGUCUUUUGGGGGCUGUGAAUAAUAUAAGAUGGCAGCAUUUUCUUCUUAAAAAAUGGACUUUUGUAACUUAUGUUUUGUUCUUUAUGGAAAUAUAAUCAAUAAAUAAUAUUUUAACAGUCUUUAAGUAAUAAAUAACCUUAUAGCAAAGGCAUGAGGACUUUGGGUGGUUGAAGGAUUUGAUAAACUUACUUUUAUUUUGUUUCAACAAACUCUUGUGUUUUUUUUAACUUUAGUAGGUCAGCUACUCACUUUACAUUCUAUGAUGAACAAAAUGAUCAAAGUAAAAUUCACUAUCCUACAAAGAAAAGCAAAAAAUUUAUUUCGGAUACUCUAAAGCAGAGGACAGAAAUAGCCAAAAGCAUGGUGACUGAUGUUUGAGUGAAUAAGUUCAGGAAAGUGUCAGAAUUAGUGAAAUACAUGCCUGGAGAGCUGAAGGUGGUUAUCAAGAAAGAGAGAAUUAAAACAAUAAAAUUUUAAGAUUUGGGAUAUUGAAAUGGGAGAUUGUGUAGGGUGAACAGGAUUUGGAGUGAUUCUAAAAAUAAGCAGGGACAUUUUUAUGAAGGUCAAAUUUACAAGGAAUAGAAAAUGGAAGGCCAACCAAGACAACACGAGAAAACAUGAUAAGCAAGGAAAAUGAUCAUUGAAACCAUUUAUGAAAGAGAUGAAAGACAGGCAUAACCAAAUAGGGGGAGGUUUAGAUCUGGUGGGUGAAGUAUGCAGAUGAACCAGGAGGAAGAGAGGGU